UACGUAGGUCCCGAGCGUUGUCCGGAUUUAUUGGGCGUAAAGCGAGCGCAGGCGGUUUGAUAAGUCUGAAGUAAAAGGCUGUGGCUUAACCAUAGUACGCUUUGGAAACUGUCAAACUUGAGUGCAGAAGGGGAGAGUGGAAUUCCAUGUGUAGCGGUGAAAUGCGUAGAUAUAUGGAGGAACACCGGUGGCGAAAGCGGCUCUCUGGACUGUAACUGACACUGAGGCUCGAAAGCGUGGGUAGCAAACAGG
rnacentral:rRNA from 1 species